GCUAGCGUAGCUUAACUAAAGCAUAACACUGAAGAUGUUAAGAUGGACCCUAAAAAGCCCCGCGGGCA
rnacentral:tRNA from 2 species